AGUCGCGUGGUCUAAUGGUUAUGAUUUCUCGUUCACAAAAUGAAUGUUUUCCGAGAAGGUUCGGAGUUCGAUCCUCCGCGCGACUA